CCUACGUGAGGCUGCAGUGAGGAAUAUUUGUCAAUGGACGGAAGUCUGAACCAGCCAUGCCGCGUGCAGGAAGACGGCUCUAUGAGUUGUAAACUGCUUUUGUACAAGGGUAAACCUGAAUACGUGUAUUCAGCUGAAAUUACUUUACGAAUAAGGAUCGGCUAACUCCGUGCCAGCAGCCGCGGUAAUACGGAGGCUCCAAGCGUUAUCCGGAUUUAUUGGGUUUAAAGGGUGCGUAGGCGGAUUGAUAAGUUAGAGGUGAAAUGUCCGAGCUUAACUCGGGAACUGCCUCUAAUACUGUUGAUCGAGAGAGUAGAUGCGGUAGGCGGAAUGUAUGGUGUAGCGGUGAAAUGCUUAGAGAUCAUACAGAACACCGAUUGCGAAGGCAGCUUACCAAUCUAUAUCUGACGUUGAGGCACGAAAGCGUGGGGAGCAAACAGGAUUAGAUACCCGUGUAGGC
rnacentral:rRNA from 1 species